UACGUAGGGUGCAAGCGUUGUCCGGAAUUAUUGGGCGUAAAGAGCUUGUAGGCGGUUUGUCGCGUCUGCUGUGAAAUUUCGGGGCUCAACCCCGAACUUGCAGUGGGUACGGGCAGACUAGAGUGUGGUAGGGGAGACUGGAAUUCCUGGUGUAGCGGUGAAAUGCGCAGAUAUCAGGAGGAACACCGAUGGCGAAGGCAGGUCUUUGGGCCACUACUGACGCUGAGAAGCGAAAGCAUGGGGAGCGAACAGG
rnacentral:rRNA from 1 species